rnacentral:rRNA from 1 species
UACGUAGGGUGCAAGCGUUGUCCGGAAUUAUUGGGCGUAAAGAGCUCGUAGGCGGUUUGUCGCGUCGAAUGUGAAAACCCGGGGCUCAACCCCGGGCCUGCAUUCGAUACGGGCAGACUAGAGUUCGGUAGGGGAGUCUGGAAUUCCUGGUGUAGCGGUGAAAUGCGCAGAUAUCAGGAAGAACACCCGUGGCGAAGGCGGCUCACUGGGACGGUACUGACGCUGAGACGCGAAAGCGUGGGGAGCGAACAGG